CUUCAGCUCAGAAAGGUGAUUUCAUUAAAGCACGGGACAGGACCCGUGAGCAGAAAGACCUGCACUGGGGUUGUGAAGAGUGAUUGAUGAUACACUUUCAGGUUGGGAGGGGCUUAGGGACAGAGAAAGUCUCUAAGGAAUUUUGGAAGCAAGGUUUCCAGGACCUUGAGGGGCUAGCUGUUGCUA